UACGGAGGGUGCAAGCGUUGUCCGGAAUCACUGGGCGUAAAGGGCGCGUAGGCGGCUCAUGAAGGCUGUGGUGAAAGUCCGGGGCUCAACCUCGGAUCGGCCGUGGCGACUCGUGGGCUGGAGCACUGUAGAGGCGGGUGGAAUUCCGGGUGGAGCGGUGGAAUGCGUAGAGAUCGGGAAGAACACCAGUGGCGAAGGCGGCCCGCUGGGCAGUGGCUGACGCUGAGGCGCGAAAGCGUGGGGAGCAAACAGG
rnacentral:rRNA from 1 species